UACAGAGGUCUCAAGCGUUGUUCGGAUUCAUUGGGCGUAAAGGGUGCGUAGGCGGCGCGGUAAGUCGGGUGUGAAAUCUCGGGGCUUAACUCCGAAACUGCAUUCGAUACUGCCGUGCUUGAGGACUGGAGAGGAGACUGGAAUUUACGGUGUAGCGGUGAAAUGCGUAGAUAUCGUAAGGAAGACCAGUGGCGAAGGCGGGUCUCUGGACAGUUCCUGGCGCUGAGGCACGAAGGCCAGGGGAGCAAACGGG
rnacentral:rRNA from 1 species